UGCAGACUCAUUCUCCGUUUUCGUGUUAGACGCGUAGAAAUCUCACAUCUUGUAGCAAGUCUGCCAACAAGCCGUCAACAAGUUGUGUUCGCACUGCUUGUCCCAAGUUGUCGACAAGUAUGGAACAAGCUGUUGACAAUUUGUAGCAACCUUGUUGAUAUUAUCAGACUUGUUGCAAGGUUGUUCCAACAAGUCCGAUACAGUCAUGAUAUAACAAUAUUGUUACAACCUUGUAUCGUUAACCUUGUAACAUUCUUGUUAUAUCAUGACUGUGUCAGACUUGUAAGAACAACCUUGUAACACGUCUGAUAAUUCCAUCAAGCUUGUUACAAGUUGUUAACAGCUUGUUCCAAACUUGUUCCAACAACUGGGAACAAGCAGUGCGAACACAACUUGUCGACAGCUUGUGAACAGAUUUGUAACAACUUGUUUGCAGACUUGUAACAACUUGAUUUUUUUGUGCGUUGGUGUUAUGUACUCAGGUAAAUAUGAUGUUUGUGAUGUUACUUUGAGUGUAUAUCCGCACCGGGCAAGCUUGAAAAAUAUGCCUGGCCACGGUGGGAAUCGAACCUACGACCUUUGGAAUAAAAAAAGAGGCUCAUCUGCACAAUAUAUUGAUGGACGCUUGCGUAUCUAUUUUUAUUCUUGCUAGACCAUAAUGCAUACGGUUCAAGAUGACGUCGCUAUUGUUAAAACGUCUAUUGCCGG